GGCGAAGUGGCAGAGUGGGGAGAUGCUACGGUCUGCAACGCCGUCCACGUUGGUUCGAAUCCAACCUUCGCCUCCA
rnacentral:tRNA from 1 species